rnacentral:tRNA from 1 species
GGGGCUUUAGCUCAGUGGUAGAGCGGUGGAUUGCAGCCCCACAAGAUUGCGAAAAUAUCCUCAGGUCGAUGGUUCGAUCCCGUCAGGUCCCU